UGUCUCCAUAUCAACCAAGGUGCGAACACGCACGCGCCAAACCGAAAAAGUUCGACUAGAUGUUGUAACUUGUAAUUCCCAACCUCCGACUAGGGAAAGCCAGAUCCUGCAAUCGACUUGCCUUGAUAACACCUAAGAAGGCCAUGUCAUGUCACUGAGAUCAGUACAGAAUGUUUAUCUGCUUACAGAGACACAAACCUGUUCUUCUGUUCAAGGUUCGUCUGCACAUCUUCCAAGACCCUAAAACAAAGCCUGUUUGAACUGCCUAAAACUGCUUCUUAUCGGUACAAAGAAGUGUGUCAUGGUCUGCUUUUCAUAUAUAUAGUAGUGGUUUAGUACAAGUGCUUCAGAGCGCUCUCAUUAUUCUAUCCUGCUUUAUUCUAUCCUGUAUUAACCAUCUUUCUGUAAUAAACCUUUUUACCUUAA